AGCAGCCGCGGUAAUUCCAGCUUCAAUAGCGUAUAUUAAAGUUGUUGCAGUUAAAAAGCUCGUAGUUGAAUUUCGGGAUCAAGGCGUCGGUCGUGCUUCGGUACGUACUGGCGUCAUUGAUUUCUCCCUUCUGACGAACCAUGAUGCCAUUAACUUGGUGUUACGGGAAAUCAGGACUGUUACUUUGAAAAAAUUAGAGUGUUUAAAGCAGGCUCACGCUUGAAUACAUUAGCAUGGAAUAAUGAAAUAGGACGUUCGAUCCUAUUUUGUUGGUUUUUAGGAUCAACGUAAUGAUUAAUAGGGAUAGUUGGGGGCAUUAGUAUUCAAUUGUCAGAGGUGAAAUUCUUGGAUUUAUUGAAGACUAACUACUGCGAAAGCAUUUGCCAAGGAUGUUUUCAUUAAUCAAGAACGAAAGUUAGGGGAUCGAAGACGAUCAGAUACCGUCGUAGUCUUAACCAUAAACUAUGCCGACUAGGGAUCGGAUGAUGU
rnacentral:rRNA from 1 species